rnacentral:rRNA from 1 species
CAAUAGCGUAUAUUAAAGUUGUUGCAGUUAAAAAGCUCGUAGUUGGAUUUGUGGCUGUCACGGGCGGCCUAUCACUUAGUGUUAGUGCUUGCCUGUGUCGCCAUCCUUGGGUGGAGCCCGUGUGGCAUUAGGUUGUCGUGCGGGGGAUGCCCAUCGUUUACUGUGAGAAAAUUAGAGUGUUCAAAGCAGGCUUAUGCCAUUGAAUAUGUUAGCAUGGAAUAAUAGGAUAGGACCUCGGUACUAUUUUGUUGGUUUGCGCACCGAGGUAAUGAUUAAUAGGGACAGUUGGGGGUAUUCGUAUUUCAUUGUCAGAGGUGAAAUUCUUGGAUUUCUGAAAGACGAACUACUGCGAAAGCAUUUACCAAGGAUGUUUUCAUUAA